rnacentral:rRNA from 1 species
CCUACGGGAGGCAGCAGUGAGGAAUAUUGGUCAAUGGCCGGAAGGCUGAACCAGCCAUGCCGCGUGAAGGGCAGGGACCUAUGGGCGUUAAACUUCUUUUGUGCGGGAGCAAGAAUGGUCACGUGUGGCCAGACGAGAGUACCGUACGAAGAAGCAGCGGCUAACUCCGUGCCAGCAGCCGCGGUAAUACGGGGGAUGCAAGCGUUAUCCGGAUUUCUUGGGGUUAACGGGUGCGUAGGCGGUGAGGUAAGUCAGCGGGGAAAUGCCCCCGCUCAACGGGGUGAAGUGCCAUUGAUACUGCCUUGCUGGACUGCGGAUGCCGUGGGCGGAAUGUGUGGUGUAGCGG